CCGGCUCCGGUUCACCCCCUCACCCGGCCCCUGGCGAGUGCCAGGCGACCAGGCAGGGCGGACCCGGCGGCC
rnacentral:ncRNA from 1 species